CAGGAGCCAAUUCCAUAAUUGUUUUAAGCCCCGAUUUCACUGCUCUCCUGUAUCACAUGAUGUCACGUGACACAAUACUCGUUUAGAUUUUCCAAUCAUCUUUCAUAAUCGUAGACCUCAGUGGCCUGUGCAGUCCUGGCCGAGAAUAUGUCCCGGCGGCUAGUGCUGGUGGCCCUUUUAUUUACAGCCCUCUAUCUUAGCUCCAAUGCCGACGGCUAUCCCUGCUCUUCCACCGAAGGGCUUCCAUUGGUGAGGAAUAUCAGUGAGCUUACGCAGAAUAGUUAUGGUAGACCCGGUUUGUCUCACAUGACCGUAGCCGGUUCGCUUUUACAUGGGAUGAAAGAGGUUGAGGUGUGGCUGCAAACAUUUGCUUCUGGAUCUCACACUCCAAUUCAUAGGCAUUCAUGCGAGGAAGUGUUCGUGGUACUAAAAGGGAGUGGGACUCUUUAUCUUGCUUCUAAUUCACACUCCAAGUACCCUGGCAACCCACAAGAGUUUCCUAUCUUCUCUAAUAGCACGUUUCAUAUCCCUGUUAAUGAUGCUCAUCAGAUAUGGAACACAAACAAAGAGGAGGAUUUACAGUUCUUGGUUAUUGUCACUCGUCCUCCAGUUAAAGUGUUUAUAUAUGAUGACUGGCAUAUGCCGCAUACUGCAGCCAAAUUGAAGUUCCCUUAUUAUUGGGAUGAAGAGUGUUACCUGAUACCUCCAACAAAAGAUGAGCUUUAACUUGAAAGCAAGAAUCUUGCACAAUUAGUGGAAGUCAAAUUUUAUCCAAUCAGUUGCAAGCAUGACGCAUGCAGUGUUCUCAUUUCGAGAGGGAGCUUGUUCAUACUCCAUCAAUCUUGGUGAAUUUUCUAGAACUAGAAUACCCUCUGCCCUUUUUUAUUCUUUUUUUAAUGCUAUUUAUCUCUUAAUUUUACACUUUAACCCUUGUGCUUUGGUUGCUUUUAUUCUGUAAUUAGUGCGCUUUGGUUUUGGUUAUGUUUUUUCCCAUUGUGUUAUCUAUUUGCCCUUUCUUUGGUGAGUUGCCCUUUCUUUACUUCUGCUGUCAUUUCCCUUCCUUUUCCUUUGAACUUUUCUUCCCUUUUCCUUGGAUUCUGCAUAUGUGUAUAUUCCUCAUGGUUUUCUUUUCUUUUUUUUUUUUCUCCUUAUUUUUCUGUCUUGCCCCGUUUCUUAUUUGCUUUUGAUAUUAGAUGUGUGUAAACUUAUUGUGCAUAUCUGAGGUCCAUAGUUCUCUGCUUUGGUUUGCUCUUACCAUCCAAUUCAUUGUGUACGCCUGCUUGUCCUUUUUUUCCUUCCACCGGACUUAUUCAUCUGUGUAUGCUGUGAGGUCUUUUUUGCAUUUUUUUUCUGGGGGAAAAAGGUUAACAUUGUUACCUUUGUUCAUGUUUGGUUGUAUUGAAUGCAGUCUCUUCAAUGUAUUAUUGAGUAUUCUUUUUUUCCUGUUCUGGCCUCUAUUUGAUAUUACUUUAGGCGUUCGUUUGGGAGUUUAGGAAAAGAGGAGGGGGGGGGGGAACGUUAUGAAAGAAGAGGAGAGAAGAGAAGGGAUUGUUAUGUUGUUUGGGAGUUUUGAGAAUUAGUGGAAUGAUUUUGGAUAUGAAAGUCAUUAAAUAUUUGUUCAAGACAUUUUUAAGGAUAAAAUAGGUAUUUUAAAAAAUUUUCACAAGCUUCCUCCAACUUUCUCUCCAUUUCUCUCCAAUUUGGGAGGAAAAUUUUGCUUACUAUUCAUCCUCUCAUUUCCUUUCUUUUCUCUCUUACUAAAAGCUUACAAACAAAAGAACUUUCUCUUCUUUUCCUUUCUUUUCUGUCCAAAUCCUCAACUCCCAAAUGAACCCUUAAUUUUGCUAUUAUUUUUCCCUCUUUCUUGAAUUCUCUAUGCAUUUAUAGUCCACAUGGCUUCACCUUUUUUUCCCCAUUUUCAUUUCUUGACCUGUUUUCUCUUUCCUUUAGUUGUUAGAUGGAUGUAAAGGCAUUGAGUAUAGUUGAGGUCCACAGUUCUUUGCUACGACGGACUAUUAUCUAAGUUAUUGAGGGCUCACAUCUCACAACUACUGAUGCAGAAUGUGCCACAAAAGUGUAUUGUCGCUUCGUCUUUGACGAUGCGCAUGUAGGUUUAGCUUUUUGCCCCUUUUGUGUUGUCAUAGUUUACUCUGUGGUCCUUUUGCUUACUUGAAGUAUUAGUUAUGAUUUCAGUAAUAUAUUCCGUGUUAAUGCCUUGGGGGUUUGGAAUGAAAAAGUUAUACUAUUUUUUAGCCUACUGUACAUGUUGUAUAGUGAAUUUGAGCGUCUGGUUUAUCUUUUUUUCCAUUUGUGUGAGCUGUGAAGUCUUUUUUUCCAUUUUUUUGGGGGGAAAAGGCUAACAUUGUUACCAUUGUUCAUGUUUGGUUGUAUUGAAUGCAGUUUCUUCAAUGUAUUGAGUAUCCUUGUUUUCUGUUCUGGCCUCUCUAUUUGCUAUUGCUUUACUUUUUUCCCUUCUUUUUUCUCACUGAUUUCCUUUUUUCAUACGAGUAGUCGUUUUGUUUCUGAGCUGAUAUUGUGACAAACUAACUCGUCUUUUGGUUGACUGAUUUGUUAUAGAUAUGUUUUAUAUGAUUUCAGUAAUAUAUUCUGUGUUAAUGCCUCGGGGAUUUGGAAUGAAAAAGUUAUACUAUUUUUUAGCCAACUGUACAUGUUGUAUAGUGAAUUUGAGCGUCUGGUUUAUCUUUUUUUUUCAUUUGUGUGAGCUGUGAAGUCUUUUUUUCCAUUUUUUUGGGGGGAAAAGGCUAACAUUGUUACCGUUGUUCAUGUUUGGUUGUAUUGAAUGCAGUUGCUUCAAUGUAUUGAGUAUCCUUGUUUUCUGUUCUGGCCUCUCUAUGUGCUAUUACUUUACUUCUUUCCCUUCUUUUUUCUCACUGGUUUCCUUUUUUCAUACGAGUAGUCGUUUUGUUUCGGAGCUGAUGUUGUGACAAACUAACUCUGUCUUUUGGUCGACUGAUUUGUAAUAGAUAUGAUAGGAGUUGUUUUAUAUGCUUUACCAGUGAGUAAGGCGCGCUUUUAGACGGUGUUUCUGUUAUUGCUAGAGAUUAUGUCAUUGAUCAAAGGUGAUUUCCGGUGCUUGGAUCCUUCCGUGUUGCUUUUGUUAGCCCCUGCAUUUUUUAGAUUGCUGACACCUUGUUGUUUAUGUUUGUUGCUAUGGUAAGAAACCUGUUCUUCUGACAUUGUUCUAUGAUUUUUGAGACUGAAGUGGGGCGGACCAUAGUAGAUGCAGUGGGGUAUGUUGAGUCCAAUCCAGUUAUUAUUGGUAUUAGACACAGAGUGAAGCCUGAUAAUUGUGAGAUCUGUUUCUAUGCAUAUUCAUGGUUCCUUAGUUAAUUUGUGUUAGGCUGUUGUGUUACAGGUGUCUCUGUGCUGUCAUUUUUUUCUUGGCACUUUUCCCUUCUGGACUUUAAAUCAUGGAUUGUUUGCUAAGUCAUAGCAAGCUA